ACAAGAACAACCUGGGAUGUCACUGUUCACGUUAGAGACAGCCGGGGAGCAGAGGCAGGCACUUCAUAAACCCUGCGUUUUGAUCCUUCCUAGGAACCACUUCACAGCCUAAAAUGAGCUGAAGCAUCCUUCCCAGCUCUGCUGCAUCAGAAUGCUCCCCGAUGAGGUUCACAUCAGGAAGGUGCUUUAUUUAUAAAUAUCAGCAAACAACCAAGGAUGAUUAAGACCUUGGAGAAAAAGAUCUCCUACAGAAGAAAAAAAAAUAAAGGACAAAAACAGAGAAAUUCAGAGGAAAGCAAACAGGAAGUGGAAGAAAAUAAAAUGAAAGAAAUCCUAAUGCUUAGCUGUAUAUACAGGUGGUAAAACUAUCAAGAAAAUGAUUAUUUAUAAAUUUAAGAUUAUGGUUUUCUCUGGAGAGGAAGUGGUUGUGAUCAGCAAAGUAAAUACAGGGGCCUUCUUGGACAGUGGCAAUGUCCCACUGACCUAUAACAUGACUGUUCACAAUCAACUGUUAAACUGUACAAUACCCCUCGUGUACUUUUGUCACUGUAUGUUUAUUUUAUAAUGAAAAUGUUAUGGGGGUCCUGGGAAGGAGGACAGCUAUUUUAGACAGCCGGCCAAGGAAGGCCCAUUAGCUAGGCUAGGAACUGAGCAGAGACCUGAGUGAAGGAGCAACCACACCUGUACAGCUGCAUGUAGAAGGACAGGUACACCUCGCACAGAGACGGCUGCAGGCAACCUGAGACAGGAGCUCACUCGACAAACUCCAAAAGAAGCAAGAAGGUCAGCAUGGCUGUGGUAAGGAGUGGUGGGAGGUGAGGGGAAGGAGUUGGAAUGGAUGGCAGAUCAUUUAGGUCCUCGUGAGUUAUGUGAGGGAUGCGGAUUGCAUUUUGAAUGAUAAGAAAAUAAACUGAAUUAAAUGAAUAGCAACACACUACCAACACAGAUCAAUUCUCUUCCUAAGGAAAAUCAAUCUCUAGGAAGAUAUCUAAGAAACUGCUAACAUGGAUGCCUCCUGGGCAACUGGGGUUAAGAAAUAAAACAGGGAAGUAAAAAAUACUUCUUUGCUUAACAUUCUCAGAGAUAAGGGAAACUACUACACUCAGAAAGCAGGAACAGGACACAAAAGUUCCAUUCAGAAAACAAAAACGUGGUCUUGGUAACUCAAAAUAUGACAGCAGAAAUGAAGAACUCCAUGGGCAAGCUGGAAGGAAAGAUGUGUAAUGAUCUCAGGAAGUAAAUAAAAAACACAAGAAAGAAAAAAGGAGAGAAAAAGUUAGAUAAUUAAAGGAUCAAACCAGGAGGUCCAAUAGCUAAACAGGAGUUCUAAAAGAACAGAGAAAAUAAAAGAAGAAAUAAGAGAAAAAAUAAUGUAAGAAAAUUUCUUAAAACUAAAGGUAGUUGGUUUCAGAGUUGAAGGACUUUCUAAGUGCCAAGCACAGCAAGACAAAAGCAAACCACAACAAAAACCCAUACGUCACACCAAGGCACACAGCGCGAACA